rnacentral:rRNA from 1 species
AGUGCGCUCCUACGAGAGGCAGCAGUGAGGAAUAUUGGUCAAUGGGCUUACGCCUGAACCAGCCAAGUCGCGUGAGGGAAGACUGCCCUAUGGGUUGUAAACCUCUUUUGUCAGGGAGCAACAACAUCUACGAGUAGGUGUUACGAGAGUACCUGAAGAAAAAGCAUCGGCUAACUCCGUGCC